AGCUCAGUUUUGGAAUCUGGCAGUGAUUCACUGUCCGAGUUGUAAAUUGAAGAGAAUGUCAUCCAUGCUGGACCAUGUCUAAAUUGUAAUGAUCCACAGUCCUUUGAUGGAGUAUCAGAGAGGGUAAUAAUCCCGUCUUUAACAUGGACUACCAGUGUUUCUGUGAUGCACUCUCUCAGAGUCGAGUAGUUUGGGAAUGCUGCUCUAAUGGGAGGUAAACUCCUUCUAAAGCUAAAUAUUGGCGAGAGACCGAUAGCGAACAAGUACCGUGAGGGAAAGAUGAAAAGAACUCUGGAAAGAGAGUCAAAUAGAACGUGAAAUUGCUGAAAGGGAAGCGUUUGGAGUCAGACGCAUCUUCAUGCCAUACCACUCAGUGGCAGAGACUGAGACUGGUUACCUGAAGAUGGGCCAGCACUCACGAAAACCAUUGGAAAAGGGGUCAUGGAAUGUAGCUCAGUCUUGAGUGAUUAUAGCCUUGAUUCAGAAGCAAUGUGUCUUUGUGUGAGAUUGGACAGCACGGACUUUCAGUGCUUGAUUGACUGGCAUAAUGGCUCUAAGCGACCCGUCUUGAAACACGGACCAAGGAGUCUAACAUGUAUGCGAGUAUUAGAGUGAUUGAAACUCUGAAUGCGUAAUGAAAGUGUUCUGACUGAGAAUCCUAUUGGGAGGCAUCAGUACCCCGAGUCUGUUAGUCUUUGACUAAAGGUUUGGAGGCAGAGCAUACAUGUUGGGACCCGAAAGAUGGUGAACUAUGCCUGAAUAGGGUGAAGUCAGAGGAAACUCUGAUGGAGGCCCGUAGCGAUUCUGACGUGCAAAUCGAUCGUAGAAUUUGGGUAU
rnacentral:rRNA from 1 species